UACUCGUUCGCUUCCACGGUCCCCGGCUUCUGCAUCGGGUGAUGGCAACGAAGACCUAAAUCUAUUUGCUACAAAAUGUGAACAUUCUCAUUAAACUUACGCAAUGUAAAAGGCGCAGUGCAUAUUACGACCUAUAACCAAUGCGGCUCGUUCAUUGUGUGUUAUUUUGUAGUAUCUAGGUACUUAUAUAGUUAAGUAAUAGAAAAGUGCGUAACUACUGUAAAAAUAUGUGUGGUUUAUGUUUACAUUAUUUAUUAACUAAUAAUGAUAUCGAAGAGACUUAGUUUGAAAUAAUAAUCGUUCUGAAUGACUGAGUGAAGUACGAGUUGAUAAUUUUUCCGCGAUUUAGAAUGUCAAAAAAGGAUAUCAUUUCCAGGGGAUGAAAUUUUGAGUUGGAGAGGUGAAAAAAAUAAAAAUCACAUUACAGAGAUCCAUGUUAUUUUCAAUCUAAUACACCACCAUGGGAAAAAGCUUCAGUACCAUUCUGAAUAGAAAUUACCAAAAAGACAACCGAAGUACCGCAAGUACCGGUAGCAGCGGAAGGGCAUUUUUCUUUCUCCAUAGAACAUGGGCAGUUAUUUUAACUGAUAAGAGAUCUAAAAGCCGUACAUUUCGUUCUUCAAAGUCUGAUUAUGGUAGCGAAUACGACACAAACACGAUGUGCAGCUGCAGGCAGUGCCACAGGAAAAAGAAAUUUGACAGCGACUGGGAAAGCGAGAUACUCGGCUCUGAGGACACAAUGGCACCAAAUUCUGAAAAUGGAAGAGAAAUUCGUGUUUACCCGUGGGAAGAGGACAUUCUCC